CCUACGGGAGGCAGCAGUGAGGAAUAUUGGUCAAUGGGCGCGAGCCUGAACCAGCCAAGUCGCGUGAGGGAAGACGGUCCUAUGGAUUGUAAACCUCUUUUGUCGGGGAGCAAAAGACGCCACGCGUGGCGUUCCGCGAGUACCCGAAGAAAAAGCAUCGGCUAACUCCGUGCCAGCAGCCGCGGUAAUACGGAGGAUUCAAGCGUUAUCCGGAUUUAUUGGGUUUAAAGGGUGCGUAGGCGGUCGGAUAAGUUAGAGGUGAAAUCCCGAGGCUCAACUUCGGAAUUGCCUCUGAUACUGUGCGGCUAGAGAGUAGUUGCGGUAGGCGGAAUGUAUGGUGUAGCGGUGAAAUGCUUAGAGAUCAUACAGAACACCGAUUGCGAAGGCAGCUUACCAAGCUACUUCUGACGUUGAGGCACGAAAGCGUGGGGAGCAAACAGGAUUAGAUACCCUAGUAGUC
rnacentral:rRNA from 1 species